rnacentral:ribozyme from 1 species
UCUUCUUCUUCUUCUUUUUCUUCUUCUUCUUCUUCUUCAGAAUCAUCUGAUAUGAAUGAAAAUGAUACAAAAGAUAUGAAAGGAAAUGAAAAUGAUACAAAUGAAAAUGAUACAA